rnacentral:tRNA from 1 species
GCAGGGGUAGCCAAGUCUGGUCAAAGGCGCAGGACUUAAGAUCCUGUGGCUUAGUGCCUUCCUGGGUUCAAAUCCCAGCCCCUGCA